rnacentral:snRNA from 1 species
AUACAUACCUGGCAGGGGAGAUACCGUGAUCAUGAAGGUGGUUUUCCCAGGGCGAGGCUUAUCCAUUGCACUCCAGAUGUGCUGACCCCUGCGAUUUUCCCAAAUGUGGGAAACUCGACUGCAUAAUUUGUGGUAGUGGGGGACUGUGUUCGCGCUUUCCCCUG